GUGGCAAAACAUUACGCAGGUGAAACCAAUAAAUUCCACGAGUAAAACAGCAUCAUCAGAUUCACCAAUAAAGUUGCGGAUCGUACGGCCAUCGACCCAUCAGUGCGCGAACGUGGCACCAUCUCGACGCCGCUCCGUUUUCCACGUAUACCCCAAUCACGAAACCGUAUUACCGCAGAUAGUACUCGCUUACGCGUCACCCAAUGAUCUAACACCACGUAGAUGAUUAUUCCACUGGAUCGAUUAAUCACAACGAAGGUAAAAGACGCGGGUAGGGAAAACAUUGCUCGACAAAGAAGUUUCGCGGCGCUUACCGACGACAGACGGUGAGCGAACGCCUGCAGAGGAGUCCAUUUGUCGGCUGGCUGAGGUGACCGUGAGAGGGAUCGGGUCACUCACGGGUGCUGCGCUCGCUCUACUCUGCCGUCAGAACAGAGGAAGCACCUGGAGCGCGGCGGCGGUGGUGGCAGCGGAGCAGCGGCGGGAAUGGCGGGCGGAAGGGACAAGAUCGACUACGUGUUCAAGGUGGUACUGAUCGGGGACUCGGCGGUGCGGAAAUCGCAGUUACUGGCGCGGUUCGAGUUCAGCCUGGACUCCGAGGCGACGAUCGGGGUGGAGUUCCAGACGAGGACCCUCAUCAUCCAGCACAAAAGCGUAAAGGCGCAGAUCUGGGACACCGCUGGUCAGGAGAGGGCUUGAAGUUUUAUGUCAAAAAGGAAAACACCAUCUAGUCUGCAAUCCGAUGAGCUUGGAUCUUCACGGGUAUAGUUACAGAGCUGUCACCAGUGCAUACUACCGAGGAGCAGUUGGGGCUUCGCUGGUUUGCGACAUUACCAAGUGCCAAAGCUUUGAUCAUAUUCCUUGGUGGCUAUAAGAGCUGCAGAGCCAUGCGGAGCCAUGCGGACAGGAACAUCGUGAUCAUGUUGGUCGGAAACAAGGCCGAUCUCGAGGACCAGAGAGCAGUAACCACGGAAGAUGCCCAAGAAUUUGCUCAGAAGGAGAACCUCUUCUUCCUGGAAACGUCAGCACUUGAAUGCCUUCUACAAACGUUGAGAAUGCCUUCCGGACUGUCCUCACUGAGAUUUUCAACAUUGUGAACAGGAAGAACCUGACUUCUGACCCUCGUAGCAACAACUGGCAGACCGACACUGCCGGUAAAGAAGAUCAUCGUCCCUGGCCCUGCUCAGGAGAUACCCAAGAACAAAAACAUUCUGUAAAACCUCCUAAAAUGUUGGUUUCCUCGCUGGUAGCUGCUUACAGCAGAAUGGUCUGCUAGAAUCGUUCUCAUCUUCCGGUCGUAGCAGAUAUUUUAAUUGGUGUCUGUAUGUUGGCGGAGGGAGUCAGUUUUUCUGAUGCAGUCUGUGUUUUGAUUUGCUGGAAUCAGAUGAAAACCUGUGUGUUCUUAUAGUACUCUCUUUUUAUAUUACGACGACA